rnacentral:rRNA from 1 species
CCUUUGACGUUAGCGGCGGACGGGUGAGUAACACGUGGGUAACCUACCUAUAAGACUGGGAUAACUUCGGGAAACCGGAGCUAAUACCGGAUAAUAUUUAGAACCGCAUGGUUCGAUAGUGAAAGGUGGUUUUGCUAUCACUUAUAGAUGGACCCGCGCCGUAUUAGCUAGUUGGUAAGGUAACGGCUUACCAAGGCGACGAUACGUAGCCGACCUGAGAGGGUGAUCGGCCACACUGGAACUGAGACACGGUCCAGACUCCUACGGGAGGCAGCAGCA